rnacentral:lncRNA from 1 species
AUCAUCGUGGGUGCCUAUAGACCCAGCUACUCAGGAGGCUUGAGCCCAGGAGGUGGAGGUUGCAGUGAGCCAAGAUCAUGCCAGGGUGAGUGACAGAAUGAGACCCUGUCUCAAAAAAUAAUAAUAAUAAUAAAUAUGAUCAGCUGGGUGUGGGGGCAUAUGCCUGUAGUCUGAGAUAUUGGGAGGCUGAAGCAAGAGAUUCACUUCAGCCCAGGAGUUCGAGGCCAGCCUGGGCAACAUAGUGAGACCCUGUCUCUAAGACAAAAAAAAAAAAAGAGAGAAGGAGGAAGAAAGAGCUUUCUGGGCUAAGACAAAUGUUAGUCAUGUGUAUCUGUGAUGUGGUGUGAUGACAGGUCUACUUGUUCUGGAUGUCUUUUUUUUGGUGAGUAUUGUUUGGGGGAGAAAGAAGUAUUGGGUGGCGUGAGGAUUCAAUGUAGAUGGACCAAUGUUUAAUGGGACUGAGGACACAGAGAGGACACAGAGCGGACACAGAGAUGUGGGAGACAGGGUCCCUCAAGGUGCUCCUUGACACACAGACACAGCUUGGGGGACUUAGUUGCUGCCAAGCCAACUCUUGGCGUGACAUGAGGUGGCAGGAGUGGGGACGGACGGCCACUGAGGACCCACCACCCCAGGACAGCCGGGCGCCUCUGGCAGGCAGGUCCACGGUUACUGAUUGUCAUGGUCAAGCUCAGCUGGGCACUGGGUCCAGAAGGAGAUGUGACUGGCCCAUUUUGUGUCUUUUAUCUGAGCCUGCACCUUUCCUAACUCAGAUUUUUUAAAUACUUUUUUCUUUAUACUCACUUUGUUUUUCUCUGUACUAAUACACUAACUCGGAUUUUUGGCUUUUAUUGGGCCGAGGUCCCACCAACCUGGAUGCUCAGCCUUGUUUGGUAAAGCAAGAAAAGUAUCUGAGAAAUGUUCCCUAAAGGCUGAUUUCACCCCAAACAGUCACUCAGUGAUGCGCCUCACUUACCAAGGACACACCCCCAAAAGGCAUCUCCUGGCCUCCGGGUCUCACUCUGUUAUCGCAGGGUGUGGUGGAGCAGGUGUGGUUGGGUGGCCACCAAGAUGGAUUUCAGUCUCUUUCCAGGCCCAGGGAACAAGCCGAAUUCGAGAGACUUGGCUUUUAGCCUCCUGUUAGAGCCAAGAAAGACUUCAAAGACUCAACGGCUUCUAAGGCUUUUUACAUCAGCAAAGUCCUGCAAAGCCUGCAAACGAAGGCUGCUUUGAGGCCUUUCAUUCUAAGGACAGAGAAGGUAAAUUCCAUGGCCACUUUCUCCAGAGCAGCAACUGGGCUCCUUCUUUUUACUUCCAUGGGGAGGACAAGAGAUUCAUUUGCUUUCUGUUGCUGAGAAUGCUAUCAAAACAAAUUUUACUUUUAGCUGCAACCUUUCAAAAGCGUCUUAAGCAUAAAGCACGAAAAAAUCCCCAAGCUUAUGUAGGCAUUCUAGUUUUUUCGUGGUUGGUGUUUUUUUUUAACUGUGCCAGUUUCAGCUGAAACAUGGUUCUAUUGUUUCCAUUUCCCACUGUACAUACAGCACUGAAUUCUUGGGGAGCAAAAGUACGAGGGCAGAUUGAGAAACCCCAGUUCAUGAGAAGUUUGUUGUUGUGGUGGUUGUUGUUUUAGCAAAGAGAGGAAAUCGGUAAAUAGCUCUGAUGUUGAGACAGCAGGAGGUCAGGACAUUGAGCAACGUGCAGGUGGGGUUGUGGACUCAGGGCUGAGCGGCAGGGGGCGCUCCUCCCAGUGCAAGCCUUCAGAAACACCAGCCUUGAGUUGGACGGUUCUGGCUCAUUGUGUGGAGUCCUAAGUGGUCACACUCCACACUCCUAAGUGGUCUGGUCACACAGUUGUUUUAAAGAAGGGUAAUGGCUCAUUAGGUAGAUUUGGGUAGGAUGCAGCUUGAAGUGGGGCGUAAAAUCCUUUCAUUGUCCAAUGGGGAGGUCACAGUGCAGCAGCUACUCCUUGUACUUGGAAUGAGGGAAACAGCGUAAUCUAGACUUGAACACGGGCUCAGGAACCAGGAGCGCCAGCCACAGAUCUCACUCACUCUCACUGUUGUUUGCAACUUUGGGCAAGUCAAGUAACUUCUCUGCUGGAUCACUGCUUCUCCAACUGUGUGAGCAUUUGUAGCUUUUUCCCAAAUAAGUACUCUACUUCCUGGCUUUCCAAAGUGGAGCCGGACAGUCGCUUCUGCAUCAUUGGGAGUUUGUUGGCAAUGCAGAAUGUCAGCCUCGAUUCCAGACCUACUACAUGGAAUCUGCAUUUUAACCAGAGGCCCAGUGCUGAGCACACUGAGGUCUGAGAAGGACUGCUCUGUUCUCCCAGGUCACUGCAAUGGUAUCAGGUUCUUCUGUUCCUCUCUCUCAGAGGAUACUUGAAAUGAUGCCUGAAAAAAAAGACAAUCUAGGCCAGGCAUGGUGCCUCAUGCUUGUAAUCCUAGCCCUUUGGGAGGCCAAGGCGGGAGCAUCACUUCAACCCAGGAGUUUGGGACAAGCCUGGAUAACAUAGUAAGACCCCAUCUCUACAAAAGAAUAAAAAAUUAGCUGGGUGUGGUGGUGCACACCUGUAGUCCCAGCUACUUGGGAAGCUGAAGUGGGAGAAGUGGGGAGGAUUGCUUGAGCCUGAGAGGUCGAGGCUGCAGUGAGCCAUGAUCGUACCACUGCACUCCAGCCUGGAUGACACAGCGAGACUCUCAAAAAAAAAAAAAAAAAAAAGAUCAUCUAUAUAUAUGGUCAGGACUCAGGUAAGAUCCUUAAGAUGUCUUUGUAUUCAUCUGUAAUAAGUCAUUUUAAGAACUCCAUGUUCUCUGAGGCAUUUUCUGAAAGUCAUUUGUGCACCCAUCUAUUGCCAAUGAUUUCUCCUCUCACUAGAGGUGUGAGAUGUUUUUCAAACCCGCUAUGAAUUUCUGUUAAAUUACCUUACCCAUUAGAUGUUUUUUCACCCUGCUGUCUCUCACCAGGGGAACGCUGUGAAAAAGCUUUAGAACACUGUGCAAGCAAUCAUCCUUUCCAGCCACCUGUUUCUGCUGACAACUUUAUGAAUAGCUUCUUUACCAAUCAUUAGACAAAAACCAUUCCAUUCUGGAGAAUGAUGACACAGAAGGUUAAGGGCUUUUUCUAAAAGCACAUACACAUGUGUGAGGUUUGCCAAAACCAGCUUGUGCCCAAAGUAGGACAGAUGGGCCACUAAGGGGAAAGAGCAGAGAAAGGGAUUCAAGAGAAGGAAGUUUUUGUAAGGCUUGUGCUAUAGACUGAGUGACUGUAUUCCCCCAAAAUUCAUAAUCAUCAAUGUGAUGGUAUUAAGAGACA